rnacentral:rRNA from 1 species
GCCUGUCCCAGUUCGGACUGGAGUCUGCAACCCGACUCCACGAAGUUGGAUUCGCUAGUAAUCGCGCAUCAGCCAUGGCGCGGUGAAUACGUUCCCGGGCCUUGUACACACCGCCCGUCAAGCCAUGGGAGCCGGGGGCGCCUGAAGUCCGGGACCGCGAGGACCGGCCUAGGGCGAAACUGGUAACUGGGGCUAAGUCGUAACAAGGUAUC